GACGAACGCUGGCGGCGUGCCUAAUACAUGCAAGUAGAACGCUGAAGAGAGGAGCUUGCUCUUCUUGGAUGAGUUGCGAACGGGUGAGUAACGCGUAGGUAACCUGCCUUGUAGCGGGGGAUAACUAUUGGAAACGAUAGCUAAUACCGCAUAACAAUGGAUGACACAUGUCAUUUAUUUGAAAGGGGCAAUUGCUCCACUACAAGAUGGACCUGCGUUGUAUUAGCUAGUAGGUGAGGUAACGGCUCACCUAGGCGACGAUACAUAGCCGACCUGAGAGGGUGAUCGGCCACACUGGGACUGAGACACGGCCCAGACUCCUACGGGAGGCAGCAGUAGGGAAUCUUCGGCAAUGGGGGCAACCCUGACCGAGCAACGCCGCGUGAGUGAAGAAGGUUUUCGGAUCGUAAAGCUCUGUUGUAAGUCAAGAACGGGUGUGAGAGUGGAAAGUUCACACUGUGACGGUAGCUUACCAGAAAGGGACGGCUAACUACGUGCCAGCAGCCGCGGUAAUACGUAGGUCCCGAGCGUUGUCCGGAUUUAUUGGGCGUAAAGCGAGCGCAGGCGGUUUGAUAAGUCUGAAGUUAAAGGCUGUGGCUCAACCAUAGUUCGCUUUGGAAACUGUCAAACUUGAGUGCAGAAGGGGAGAGUGGAAUUCCAUGUGUAGCGGUGAAAUGCGUAGAUAUAUGGAGGAACACCGGUGGCGAAAGCGGCUCUCUGGUCUGUAACUGACGCUGAGGCUCGAAAGCGUGGGGAGCGAACAGGAUUAGAUACCCUGGUAGUCCACGCCGUAAACGAUGAGUGCUAGGUGUUGGAUCCUUUCCGGGAUUCAGUGCCGCAGCUAACGCAUUAAGCACUCCGCCUGGGGAGUACGACCGCAAGGUUGAAACUCAAAGGAAUUGACGGGGGCCCGCACAAGCGGUGGAGCAGGUGGUUUAAUUCGAAGCAACGCGAAGAACCUUACCAGGUCUUGACAUCCCGAUGCUAUUUCUAGAGAUAGAAAGUUACUUCGGUACAUCGGUGACAGGUGGUGCAUGGUUGUCGUCAGCUCGUGUCGUGAGAUGUUGGGUUAAGUCCCGCAACGAGCGCAACCCCUAUUGUUAGUUGCCAUCAUUCAGUUGGGCACUCUAGCGAGACUGCCGGUAAUAAACCGGAGGAGGGUGGGGAUGACGUCAAAUCAUCAUGCCCCUUAUGACCUGGGCUACACACGUGCUACAAUGGUUGGUACAACGAGUUGCGAGUCGGUGACGGCGAGCUAAUCUCUUAAAGCCAAUCUCAGUUCGGAUUGUAGGCUGCAACUCGCCUACAUGAAGUCGGAAUCGCUAGUAAUCGCGGAUCAGCACGCCGCGGUGAAUACGUUCCCGGGCCUUGUACACACCGCCCGUCACACCACGAGAGUUUGUAACACCCGAAGUCGGUGAGGUAACCUUUUGGAGCCAGCCGCCUAAGGUGGGACAGGUGAUUGGGGUGAAGUCGUAACAAGGUAGCCGUAUCGGAAGG
rnacentral:rRNA from 1 species